AGAUUGAACGCUGGCGGCACGCCUAACACAUGCAAGUCGAGCGGCAGCGAGAUGUGUAGCAAUACACAUUGUCGGCGAGCGGCGGACGGGUGAGUAAUACGUAGGAAUCUACCUUAAAGAGGGGGACAACCAAGGGAAACUUUGGCUAAUACCGCAUAAUCUCGCAAGAGUAAAGGUGCCCAGCAAUGGGUGUCGCUUUAAGAGGAGCCUGCGUCCGAUUAGCUAGUUGGUAGGGUAAAAGCCUACCAAGGCUGUGAUCGGUAACUGGUCUGAGAGGACGACCAGUCACACUGGGACUGAGACACGGCCCAGACUCCUACGGGAGGCAGCAGUGGGAAUAUUGGACAAUGGGGGCAACCCUGAUCCAGCGAUGCCGCGUGGGUGAAGAGGCCUUGGUGUAAGCCUUAGGUGGAAGAGGUGAGGUGAGUAAUACUCUACACUUUGACGUACCAACAGAAUAAGCACCGACAACUCUGUCGCAGCAGCCGCGGUAAC
rnacentral:rRNA from 1 species